rnacentral:rRNA from 1 species
UGACGGGGUGGUGCGUAACGGCAAAAGCACCGCCGGACAUCAGCGCUAUCUCUGCUCUCACUGCCGUAAAACAUGGCAACUGCAGUUCACUUACACCGCUUCUCAACCCGGUACGCACCAGAAAAUCAUUGAUAUGGCCAUGAAUGGCGUCGGAUGUCGCGCCAGUGCACGCAUUAUGGGCGUUGGCCUCAACACGAUUUUCCGCCAUUUAAAAAACUCAGGCCGCAGUCGGUAACCUCGCGCAUACAACCGGGCAGCGAUGUGAUUGUCUGCGCUGAAAUGGACGAACAGUGGGGCUACGUCGGUGCUAAAUCACGUCAGCGCUGGCUGUUUUACGCGUAUG